CCAAUAGCGUAUAUUAAAGUUGUUGCAGUUAAAAAGCUCGUAGUUGAACUUCGGGGUCUACCCAUUGGUCAGGCUUAAUUGUCUGCACUGGUGAGAUGGAACUCUACCUUCUGAGGAACUUUCAUGCCAUUUAUUUGGUGUGAUGGGAAAUCAGGACUGUUACUUUGAAAAAAUUAGAGUGUUGAAAGCAGACUAUAGUCUGAAUACAUUAGCAUGGAAUAAUGAAAUAGGACGGACUGAUUCUAUUUCGUUGGUUUCUAGGAUCACCGUAAUGAUUAAUAGGGAUAGUUGGGGGCAUUAGUAUUCAAUUGUCAGAGGUGAAAUUCUUGGAUUUAUUGAAGACUAACUACUGCGAAAGCAUUUGCCAAGGAUGUUUUCAUUAAUCAAGAACGAAAGUUAGGGGAUCGAAGACGAUCAGAUACCGUCGUAGUCUUAACCAUAAACUAUGCCGACUAGGGAUCGGACGAAGUUAAUUUUAUAAUGACGCGUUCGGCACCUUACG
rnacentral:rRNA from 1 species